AUGAGAAGGGCUACACGAGCAAUAAAGAUUGCCCAUGUGUUUUGGCGAUCCCAAGAUGGAUUCUGUAUAAUCUCGGUGUACGUGGACGAUUUAAACAUAAUCGGCACAUCUGAGGAUAUUGAGGAAGCGAGUUCCUACCUGAUGUCGAAAUUCGAGAUGAAGGAUUUGUGUAAAACCAAGUUAUGUCUAGGUCUGCAACUUGAACAUUCCCCUGAUGGGAUUCUAGUGCACCAGUCGGCCUACACCCAGAAGGUGUUGGAAAGAUUUGGAUUUGAUAAGGCAUAUCCUUUUAAGACCCCGAUGGUCGGGAGGUCUUUACAGCCAAACAAGGACCCGUUCAGGUCAAAGGAAGAGGGGGAGGUUCCUUACCUGAGUGCAGUUGGAGCACUCAUGUAUCCAGUGGCGGAGCCAGAACUUUUCUGGAGCCUGGGCAAGCUUGAGCCUAAGUGUCUAAUGUCGAAAUAA
rnacentral:rRNA from 1 species